AGCAAGGCUUGGUUCAGUUAAAAAUGAGCUGAAGGCAUAAGGCUGUGACAUCCUUCUUCCUUCCCUCUCCCAGGGUGAAACGUGUGACCAUCGAUUUUAAAAAGACAGUUACAUUCCCUAACUAGCCCAGCCCAGCUAGUGUGUGUUAACAGGAACAGCACCACCAGAGGCGUUGGAGACUCAGGGACAUUCCAGUCCUAAAGAGCUCCUGGCAAAAUUUGAACGUUUUCAUCACUUCAGAAAGACCAGUGGAAAUGAAUGACCUAUCCGCCCCUUCCCAGUGCUGGUUCUAAAGAAGUUUCUUGGCUGUUCCUGACCAUAAAUUAUCUUGUUACCCAUGAAAAAUCUGAGCCUGGCCCAUGGAAGUCCUCAUUAAUUGUGAGUUUGUGAAUGAUGAGAUUCUAUACACCGUUAGUUGCAACUGAAGCCUUUCACAGAAGAGAAAAGUAAACUCACUGAAGCCAAGUGACUCUCUGAUGGUCAGAAAGAGUGACAUCCAGUGCUGGAGUGAUCCAGUGGACUUGGUGCUUGCAACCAGAAUUCUCCACCACCUACAGCUAAAGGGAUUACAGUAUUCUGUUAUUUUUUCUUAAUGGCGUUGCUUUUAUUUUUACUAAUUUUUUAAAAUUAUUUUUUAUUGAAGUGUAGUCAAUUUACAAUGUUAGUUUCAGAUGUACAGCAGAGAUUCAGUUAUAGACAUAUGCAUAUGUAUAUGCAUAUAUUUUAGAUUGUUUUUAGUACAACUCAUUACAAGAAAUUGAAUAUAGUUCCCUGUGCUAUAUAGUAGGUCCUUGUCAUUUAUUUUAUGUUUGUUAAUGUGUAUCUGCUAAUCCUCCCUUUCCUGCCUGCUAACCACAAUUUGCUUUCUAUGUCCAUGUGUCUAUUUCUAGCAGCACCGUUUUUGCUAUUAAUAUAUGCUGGUUGGCUGCUUUCAGUUUCAGUAAUUCCAUCUUAUCUGUGGGCAUUUUCCUUCUGGUGGGCCUGUGUGUGGUUUCCACACGUGUUAUAAGAGAUCUGUAUUUGGGAGAACUCCAGGCCUCGUGUAGACACUGGUACAGAGCUCCCACUGAGCUGAUGCUUGAACUGGGAAAGAAACAUAGUAAAUGUUGGAAUUUCCAAUAUGGUUGAGACUUCCAGGUUUCUAUAACCUGUUUAGCACACCUUAAUGUUGGCUGCACACAUAAUGGGUAAUUUGGUGGAACUUCAUGGUAUGGUGGUGUAGAGACGGGGCCUUGUAUGCUUCUUCUCUUUCCGUUUACUAACACUCAUUCUCCUGGGCCUCCCAGAUCCUCCCCCAGCAGUGCCCAGGGCUGGCUUGGUGCUGCGCUGAGGCAAUAUUUGUUAAUAAGGCCCUUUCCUCAUCUCUUCUGAGCCUCCGUUUCCUUCUCUGCACAAUGAAGACUUAGACUAGAAAAGUGCUUUUCAGUUUCUUUUAAAGCCAUGUUUCCUUUGAGAAACAGAAAAUGCAAAUCUCUCCUCCCAUCCAACAUAUAGAUUUUGACACAUCCUCCAAGGAGUGACAUAGCUCUUUGUGGAAAAUUGAAGUGAUUGUGAUUCCAGGUGGCACAGAAAAGACUCUUCAGAGGUUUGUUGCAGGGAGAGGGCAGGAAAGGAGCAGUAUGUCACACUUUUUAGUGUGAGCACUGGAACAGGGGCUUGGUUUUAAAUACAGUGUCUGACGUGGCCUCUCUCUAAUCUUGCACAAUGUGAUAAACCUCUCUCCCUCAGUUUCUUAAUACAUCAAGUUGGGGUGAUAAUAUCUUAAGGCUUUUGUGAAACAUUAUACACAUAAGACAUUUGUUUCUCGGUAGAAACUAAACCUGCUAGGGAAUCAGGGAUUACUUUAAAAAAAAAAAAAUCUUGUCCACAGCACUCUGUCUGUGUCUAUUUUGAAGUUCCUGGAGGGUGAGGGUUGGGUCUAAAGUCCAUCGUGGGACAGGUGGCCCAUGGGUCUGUGUGACCCAGAUUGCCCCCUCCUCCCCAGUCCUCUUCCUCUCAGUCCAGGAUGAAUUUCCCUAGUAGAUUUACACAGAGAUCUUGUGGAAAUGGCUUUUCAUUUUAUUGUUUCACCAUGGAGGGCUGCCAUCAUGAUCUCUGUGGUCAGGUUUUGGUGACCUGAAGGCUAUGCAAUUAUGGCUUUCUAUUUAAUAAAAAGAAAAAAAAUACAAGUACAAAAUUAGACCUACUUUGGUGGCAGUGGCUCUUGAAAGUGGGGACCAUUAGCUUUGUUAGCUUCAAGUGCAGUGGCCUCUGGCCAUGAGGACAUAUCAUCGUGCUCUGAAGUUGGAGGGACCAGUGGGUUCAGUGGGAAUGUUUCCUGAGUGUAUCUCAUGGGCUGGGCAUUGUCCUAUUUGUACUGUGUGUUCCUUACUUGAGACAGUGAGCUCAUUUAAUCUCAAUAGCCUCUUUAAUAAAUUAGACUUUUUAUUUUGAGAUGUAAUGUAGAUUCCCAUGUAGUUGUAAGAGAUAAUAUGAAGAGGGCCUACGGACCGUUUGCCCAAUUUUCUUUAAUGGUUCCAUCUUGCAAGUUUGGGGUACAAUUCAUUACUGACUCACUAACAAUUUGAGGUUUGUGUUAUUGCCCUCGUUUCUAUUCAUGAUAAAACUGGGAUUAAGAGAAGCACACAGGCCUGACCAGGUCACACACAUGGUUAGUGUAGAGUCGGGUGAAACGUGGGCUUGGCAUUUCCAGGCAGUAUCAUUAUGAUGGUCUGUGGCAGGGAUCAGCAUUCACUUUGCUUGUUUAUUCAUUCAUUCAACAAGCAUUUAUUGAUUAAACUCUGUGGCUCAGAUGCUUUCAUAGGUUUAUCUGAUUCUUCAGCAGUAUGGAGAAUCCGGUAAUGUUUCCUUUAUUUAUUAAUCUGAGAAAAUUAGCUCUGAGAGGUUAUAAACCCCCCAAAGGAAAUAUAGCUCAUAAAUGAGGGAUAGUAAAUUUGUACAGUUCCUUCUUCUUAUGCAGGUGGUACCCUAGGCAUUUUACAUUUGCAAACUUCCGUAAUCCAGAUAUAUUCUUGUAAGGCAAUGAAUUAUUUUUUUAAUUGAAAUAUACUCAAGUUUACAAUGUUGUGUCAAUUGCAAGGUUCUUUUUUUUUAAUUUGGAAUUCAAAAAAUAUUUUUUGAGGGGGGUAAAUAGGUUUAUUUAUUUGUUUCAUUUUUUUAAAAUGGGGUACUGAGGAUUCAACCGAGGACCUCGUACAUGCUAAGCAUGUGCUCUACCACUGAACUGUACCCUCCUCCCCAAAGCAAGUUUUCUUAUCAAUUAUUUUGCAGCUUAGGAGUUCAAAUAAAUCGGAGUUGAAAUCCAGAUAUUUUGAUCCUACUGUGGUUUUUUGCAUUAUAUCCUGCUGAGGGGUGUGGAAGCAGUUCCUUUAUUCAUUCCUUUAUUCAGCAGUUUUGAGCACUGACUUUGCAUCAGGGCCUGGCUAGGUGCUUGGAAACAGAAAACAAGAAAUGACCCUUUUCUGCAGAGGCCAGAAGCCUAGACCAAAAACUGCGUAAUGUGAUCCGAGCUACGGUAGCCAUGUGCAGACGCUGAGGACAAACUGUACCCCUGGAUUUGCUUUGGCUUCCCUUGCCUUCUGGCUGGUACACACCAGGUCACCGCAACCCAGUGAGGCCCGCAGCCCGCAGCACAGUAUGUACCUCGAUCUCCUCUCCCCUCUCGGCAAGGCCUGCAACAUGAGCAUCCCUGACUACGUGCAGUGUGCUGAGGACCACCAGACUCUCCCCGUGGUGGUCCAACCCGUGGGGAUCAUCUCAGAGGAG